rnacentral:rRNA from 1 species
AAUGAACGCUGGCGGCAUGCCUAACACAUGCAAGUCGAACGAACACUUCGGGACUUGUGGCCCACGGGUGCGUAACGCGUCGGAACAUGCCCUUAGGGUCGGAAUAACUCUCCGAAAGGGGUGAUAAUACCGGAUAAUGUCUACGGACCAAAAAUUUAUUGCACUUGGAUGUGCCCUCGUUGGAUUAGCUUGUUGGUAGGGUAAAAGCCUACCAAGGCGACGAUCCAUAGCUGGUCUGAGAGGAUGAUCAGCCACACUGGGACUGAGACACGGCCCAGACUCCUACGGGAGGCAGGAGUGGGGAAUAUUGGACAGUGGGCGAAAGCCUGAUCCAGCAAGGCCGCGUGAGUGAUGAAGGCCUUAGGGUUGUAAAGCUCUUGUACCCGGGAUGAUAAUGACAGUACCGGGAGAAUAAGCUCCGGCUAACUCCGUG